CACUUUUCGACCAAUCAGAAUCCAAGAAAUUCCCAUUUUGGGCUACAAUGAGGGUUAACGUCCCACUGUUCUGCUCCGAGUUAAUGGGGACAAUUAUAAGCCAUACAGUGUGCAAUGAGGGACAUUUUGCCCGGACAGCAGCGCUACGGCAUACUCUUAUAUCGAAUUCCUACUGUCGAAGGAUCUUUUAUGCGCAAGCCAAUGUGUAAAAUGGACCUUGGUUUUCCAUCCCAUCGGAACGAUUAUAUGUUGUCCCUUGCAAGUGGGAACCAUGUCGAAAUAUCCCGAUGAACUUUCUCUGUCAACGCUGGGAUCGAGCACGGAACACCCAGAUUAACAAGUUACCGCCUUACUCACUGAGCCACCGUUGGCGGGGUUGUGAAGUUUGAUGGGACAUGUCUAGUCUUGAAAUAACUUGGAAAUUUGUGUUCGAGAAGUGUUAGAUUCAGUGCAUCAACUGUAUAGAAUACACGUCCAGCAAAUAUCCGGCAAUGCGAUCUUAGUUUUGAAAUCCCAGUGGAUUUAAUAUACUAAAAUAUCUUACACAUAGAGAAGAGAAAUAACCUGAUUUCAGGUGUUUGGUGUAUACCACCUCCUUUACCGGGUGAAUUUGAUUUACAAAACCAAACCCUGCUCAUCAAACCAAGAGCUGCUACCAGUUUCAAAUAUCGUUAUGUAGCUCAUAAUGGUGCUAUUGAUAAAAGUAGACCCGGGCAUCCUUUUGUUACUGUUGCAGCAACGUCAAGGUGUAGCGAUGCCGCACUCGAAAAGGCAGCUCUAGGAGUUAGUCUCAUGGUACGCCAUAUGCCUAAUGAUGUAUUCAGUGGGCUAACCCGAUCGCACGGUUUGGGUAUUUUUACUCAAGCCGAAAGUAUGGCCGUAUAUCCCGAGAAUGCCCACUUAGCGGAUACUCCCGCGUGCCAUGGAAAAUGUUCAGGAAGUUGUGCCCAUACAUGUACUUUUGAUGGACGUAAAUGGUCAACUAUAGGAGGAUUGACCAAUUCAAGAAGUGUGGUAGUUGAUCACAACGUUCUCUGUGACAGAUAUGAUUCCUAUCAUCACCAUGACAACAUUGUCAUUCACGAGUUCGGACAUCUUGUUAUGAGAUAUAUGCCUUCCUCAUGGAGAAACAAGAUUCAAGCCGCUUUCACCCAUGAGAAGUACACUAACCUAUGGAAACCGGGUGUAUAUGCUACUGCUAAUUCUGCUGAAUAUUGGGCAGAAGCUACCGAAGCUUUCUUUAUGGCUACUGUUAGAACAGAUGUGACUGGAGGUUUAGAUAUGUGUGGUACUUCCCAUCCAUGUUCCAAUGAACAACAAGCCCGGGCGUAUUUGAAAAGACAUGACCCACAGUUAUUUGACGUCCUGAGCUACGCGUACACUAACCACCAUCCUGAAAUUAGCAGUGGUGUCAAACUUUGUUUGUAGGACAAUAUAGAUAAUGAAGUCUAAUAAAGAAGUAAAAAGUA